rnacentral:rRNA from 1 species
CACGUAGGGUGCAAGCGUUGUCCGGAAUUAUUGGGCGUAAAGAGCUCGUAGGCGGUGUGUCGCGUCGGCCGUGAAAACCUGCAGCUUAACUGUGGGCUUGCGGUCGAUACGGGCAUCACUGGAGUUCGGCAGGGGAGACUGGAAUUCCUGGUGUAGCGGUGAAAUGCGCAGAUAUCAGGAGGAACACCAGUGGCGAAGGCGACACGCUGGACCGCAACUGACACUCAGGGACGAAAGCUAGGGGAGCAAACGGG